UAACGAAUCUUCCGCAAUGCACGAAAGUGUGACGGAGCGACGCCGCGUGUAGGACGAAGCCCUUCGGGGUGUAAACUACUGUCAGGGGAAAGAAAGUACUGAUCUACCCCAGAGGAAGGCACGGCUAACUCUGUGCCAGCAGCCGCGGUAAGACAGAGGUGCCGAGCGUUAGGCGGAAUCACUGGGCUUAAAGCGUGUGUAGGCGGAUGCCUACGUACCUUGUGAAAUCCCACGGCUUAACCGUGGAAC
rnacentral:rRNA from 1 species